rnacentral:rRNA from 1 species
UACGGAAGGCAGCAGUGGGGAAUAUUGCACAAUGGGCGCAAGCCUGAUGCAGCCAUGCCGCGUGUAUGAAAAAGGCCUUCGGGUUGUAAAGUACUUUCAGUCGUGAGGAAGGUGUUAAGGUUAAUAACCUUAGCAAUUGACGUUAGCGACAGAAGAAGCACCGGCUAACUCCGUGCCAGCAGCCGCGGUAAUACGGAGGGUGCGAGCGUUAAUCGGAAUUACUGGGCGUAAAGGGCACGCAGGCGGUUAAUUAAGUUGGAUGUGAAAUCCCCGGGCUUAACCUGGGAAUGGCAUUCAAGACUGGUUAGCUAGAGUCUUGUAGAGGGGGUUAGAAUUCCAUGUGUAGCGGUGAAAUGCGUAGAGAUGUGGAGGAAUACCGGUGGCGAAGGCGGCCCCUGGACAAAGGACUGACGCUCAUGUGCGAAAGCGUGGGGA